UACGUAGGGUGCAAGCGUUGUCCGGAAUUAUUGGGCGUAAAGAGUUCGUAGGCGGUCUGUCGCGUCGGAUGUGAAAAUCCAGGGCUUAACCCUGGGCCUGCAUUCGAUACGGGCAGACUAGAGUUCGGUAGGGGAGACUGGAAUUCCUGGUGUAGCGGUGAAAUGCGCAGAUAUCGGGAGGAACACCAAUGGCGAAGGCAGCUCGCUGGGACGUUACUGACGCUGAGACGCGAAAGCGUGGGGAGCAAACAGG
rnacentral:rRNA from 1 species